CGGCGGCAGCGGCGGCGGCGGCGAGCUCCUGGGGCCCGUAGAAAGCGUCGGGCGGCUCCGCGAAGCUGGGCAGCGCGGUGGUCAGCGCCACCAUCGAGGGCACAGCCUGACCCAGCCCCGCGCAGAAGGUGUUGAUGCAGAAACGUGAGCCCAGAGAGGGAAGAGACUUACGUUCCACAAGUUAAUGGCAGAGUUAAGACCAGAACCGGUGUCACGGAACUUUCAACUCAGCGCUCUUGCGGCCAGAGCUAAAUUUAAGGAAGGAGCAGAUAAAAGAGGCAGGAACCAGG